rnacentral:rRNA from 1 species
UACGUAGGGUGCAAGCGUUGUCCGGAAUUAUUGGGCGUAAAGAGCUCGUAGGCGGUUUGUCGCGUCUGCUGUGAAAACUCGGGGCUUAACCCCGGGCCUGCAGUGGGUACGGACAGACUAGAGUGCUGUAGGGGAGACUGGAAUUCCUGGUGUAGCGGUGAAAUGCGCAGAUAUCAGGAGGAACACCGGUGGCGAAGGCGGGUCUCGUGGGCAGUAACUGACGCUGGAGGAGCGAAAGCGUGGGGAGCGAACAGG